rnacentral:rRNA from 1 species
AUGCAUGCGUGCAUGCUUGAGAUGAGAUGCGAUGAGAGCAAGCAAGUUGGUAUGCUGCCUACUACUCCCUCCGUUCCGAAAUGUAGGUCGCUGGGGCUUCUGUUUCGACCAGGUGAAAAGUUGACAAUUGACCUGAAUACCCUCCCUUCAAAAUUUGAAUCCCGAUCGAUCGUCUUCCACCUCCGCCUCCGCCCUCCACUUCCACCUCUGCUUCCGCCCUCCACCUCCACCGACCCUCACCUCCGCCCUCCACCUCCAUCUCCACCUCCACCCUCACCUCCGCCCUCCACCUCCAUCUCCACCUCCGCCCUCCAUCUCCACCUCCGCCCCCUGCCCAGGUGCUGCCGCCGCUGGAGUAGAGUUGGUGCUCUGCUGCCGCCCACACACAGGGGCUCCUCCUGA